ACGGAAGGCAGCAGUGAGGAAUAUUGCGCAAUGGAGGGAACUCUGACGCAGCGACGCCGCGUGAAGGAAGAAGGUCUUCGGAUUGUAAACUUCUGUCUUCAGGGAAGAAAUAAAUGACGGUACCUGGGGAGGAAGCCCCGGCUAACUACGUGCCAGCAGCCGCGGUAAUACGUAGGGGGCAAGCGUUGUCCGGAAUUAUUGGGUGUAAAGGGCGCGUAGGCGGUUGUGUAAGUCAAACGUGAAAUCUGCAGGCUUAACCUGCAGCCUGCGUUUGAAACUGCAUGACUUGAGUGGAGUAGAGGCAAGUGGAAUUUCCAGUGUAGCGGUGAAAUGCGUAGAUAUUGGAAGGAACACCGGUGGCGAAGGCGGCUUGCUGGGCUCUGACUGACGCUGAGGCGCGAAAGCGUGGGUAGCAAACAGGAUUAGAUACCCUGGUA
rnacentral:rRNA from 1 species